CCAGCACCUGCGGUAAUUCCAGCUCUUCUAGCGUACAUCGAAGUUGAUGCAGUUAAAAAGCUCGUAGUCGAAGAUGUGGAGGAAUGGGAAAGAAUGUUCUAUGUGUUGAAAGAUGCAUGGAAAACCAUCCUUCUUUAUUGAAUUGUGAAAGUGUAAGGAUUCGUCCUUAAUUACUUCCUAUUCUCAUUAACUUUGAGGAAAUUAGAGUGUUCAUAGCAGUCGUUUUGACUGUAUAUUUUAGCAUGGGAUUAUAAAAUAUGAUAAUAUGUUAUUAUGUUUUGAUGGUUCUUUAAGUAACAAUAAAUGUUAUAAUGAUAAAUGGGAAUAGAUGGGGCUGCCAGUACUGUAAA
rnacentral:rRNA from 1 species